GGAGGUUACCUGCUUACCAUCAA
rnacentral:piRNA from 1 species